AGUGAACGCUGGCGGUAGGCCUAACACAUGCAAGUCGAACGGCAGCACAGUAAGAGUUUGCUCUUCCGGGUGGCGGGUGGCGGACGGGUGAGGCAUACAUCGGCAUCUACUUUUUCGUGGGGGAUCACGUAGGGAAACUUCCGAUAAUACAGCAUACGACCUACGGGUGACAGCAGGGGUUCUUCGGACCUUGCGUGAUUGAGUGCGCCGAUGUUGGAGUCGCUAGUUGGCGGGGUAAAGGCCCCCCAAGGCGCAUAUCUGUAGCUGGUCUCAGAGGAUGAUCGCCGACACUAGAACGUAAACACGGUCCAGACUACUAAGAGAGGCAGCAGUGGGGAAUAGUAGACAAGAGUCGCAAGCCUGAUCCAGCCAGACCGCGUGGGUGAAGAAGGCCUUCGGGUUGUAAAGCCCGCUUGUUGGGAAAAAAAAGCAGCAGGUUAAUACCCCGCUAUUCUGACGGUACCCAAAGAAUAAGCACCGGCUAACUUCGUG
rnacentral:rRNA from 1 species